AAAUAUUUGAUUUUUCUGGCAUAAAAAUGUCUUCGGGGUCUCCAGAGGAGAUUCCGACUUCUACACCACCGGUGGGAGGCCUACCAUGAACAACCUACAGCAACUAUCAUACAGGUCCCCCCACGUUGGAAUUUUACCCGACUCCCGACGACUGGAUUGAUCGGCAAACAAUCUUUGGCAGAUUUUAAACAACAAAAUUGUUGCAAAUUACAGAUGAAUUCUACAAUUCCGUUUCUGGACCUCAAUCUAUAUCCUGAUCCCAAAUCCCCUCCCCCAACCUCCACCUUAAUUACACCCAAAAUUCAGCCAAAAAUUGAACUCAUAGAUAAACCUCCGCCGCCUCCGUCGCUAACCACCGCCAAUUCACAAUCUAACCUCCAUCUCUCCAUUCCAUCACCAUUAACUCCGUUUCCUUCGUCUUCUUCAUCUGAACCCGAUUUGUGCUAUGAAUUUCACCGCAUUCCCGCGCUCUUUUGCUCAUCUUUUUCACAGGGCGUUCAAAGGUCAAUAAAUUGUUAAAUGGGUUGAGUAAAUGGGUUAAAUAUUGUUGCCAAAUCUCAGCCGUCCAAUGCUUUUAAUCUCAAUCGUACACCUCACUUUGUCAACCCCUUUUGUCAAG
rnacentral:lncRNA from 1 species